rnacentral:lncRNA from 1 species
AAAGAGCUGCUGAAUAAAGCCGUGUCUCAUCUACCUGCUGUCUCCCAAGUGUUCUUCCAGCUCCCUGCCCCUCAUCAACCCACUCUCCUCAGACCUCAGCUGGGGCUUGAACCUGAUAAUUGGUGUAGUCAUCAGGAUGAGCUGUACCCUUCAUCACGAAUUUGAUGGACUGCUUGACAAUGGAACUGGAAGAGUACCACUUUGUGGUGGACUUAGCUAAUGCAGUCUUCUCCAUUGACAUUGCUCCAGAGAGCCAGGAGAAGUUUGUCUUCACGUGGGAAGGAUGACAAUGGACUUUCACCAUGCUGCCACAGGGCUGUGUGCAUAGCCCCACCAUUUGUCCUGGUCUUGUUGCCAUGGAUUUAGCUGCCUGGAAAUGCCCAAAAGGGGUCUGCCUGUUUCAUUACAUUGAUGAUAUGUUAACCUCUGAUUCUCUCACAGAUUUAGAAGUGGUGGUGCCCCUCUUGUGACAGCAUUUGGCAGUGUGCAGUUGGGCCAUCAAUAAAUCCAAGGUCCAAGGGCCGGAAUUGUCUGCCAAAUUCUUGGGAGUUAUUUGCUCAGGCCUGUGAGAGCAUGAUGGGACGGGCUACAGCCAUCGUGUGGAUGACUUACCCAAUAGAGGAGUGGGUAUGUUCAUGGGUAAUGACCCCCUGGACUGGAAUGUUACAGACAUUCGCUUUACAGAAGUGGGGUGCCUACUUGGAGCGGCAGAGUACAAUCCCUUAGCAGCAGAUUGUCCUUAGCAGCAGGUAGUCCUAAUGCAAGAUAAGGCCAUGGGGCCUGAGGCACCCCAGACCCUGAGCCAUCCCAGUUUAAGGAAGGGCAUCCUGCCAUUCCUGAUGGGGCAUGGUAUACAGAUGGGUCCAGCCAAGGUGCUGCUGCUGCCUGGACUGCUAUAGCAGUCCAGCCCAGCACCAACACCAUGUGGGUUGAUACUAGGUGUGGACAAAGCAGCCAAAGGGCUGAACUCAGAGUGGUGGGGAUGGUGAUAACCAGGGAGGAGUCACCUAUGGUACUUUGCACCAAUAGCUGGGCAGUCUAUUGAGGUUUAACCUUGUGGUUGACUACCUGGAAAUUACAGAAUUGGCUUAUUUGACCCCAAAUCAGCCCAUUUGGGGUCAACCAUGAGGCAAGACCUCUGGGAAACAGGUAAUCAGAAUGUGUCAAGCCAUAUGCCUUUGGCUACCCCUGGUAAUGAUGAAACAGACUCCUUGACAAAGGUCCGAUGAUUAGAGUCAGCACCUACACGAGAUGUGUCUCCAGAGGUAUGUCUCCAGAUGGAGACAACUGCCCAAUGUAACACAACAAGUGACAGUAGGGCAGGUGCCCUUGACCAGAUGGCAAUGAGAUUACAUUGGGCCAUUGCCAAAAUCGCAGGGCUACACGUAUACACUGAUGGCUGUAGACACGGCCAUUGGCUUAUUGUUCACCUACCCUUGCAGGGUGGCUGGCCAGCAACACACCAUUUGAGCCCUGCAACACUUAUGUGACUUAUAUGGCCAUCCCCUGGCCAUUGAAAGUGAUAGUGGAACACAUUUUACUGGACAGCAGGACUUAUAUGGCCAUCCCUUGGCCAUUGAAAGUGAUAGUGGAACACAUUUUACUGGACAGCAGGUACAACAGUGGGCACAGCAGAUGGACAUACAAUGGGGGUUCCAUGUUCCUUAUAACCCACAAGCUGCUAGCAUGAUUGAGCAAUAUAAUGGACUCCUGAAGAACGGGUUACAUUUGCAUGUUCCCCACCCCUCCUCCCCACCCAUCUUUGUGGGGCUGGAGUUCCAGGUUGGACCUGGUGCUUCAAAUCUUGAAAAUGUGGCCAUGGAAAGGUGGCCCGGCCCCGGUGGAGGCACUGUUACACCAGGCCACUGCCCCCAUCCAACUACAGAUACACACCAAGGAUGACCUCCUCUGACCAGCCACAGGUUGGCAUGCUCCAACAACAUUGUGGACUGGGCUCACACCUAUGCUGAGGUGGCCAAUGUCUCCAACUGUUAGAUCUGCACCACCCUUCCAGCAGCAGCUGUGGAUGGCUUGCCUUGGCAUGUGCAUCCAGCUUUUGUGAAGAACUGGACAUGGCUAGAAACUUGGGGUCCCACAGACAAUGGGCGGGAUGCAACAUGGUGAGCUUUGGAUGGGGGUGUCACAAAACCCAUGGCAAGCCUGCCCCCUGGCUGACUCAUAGCAUCCAUGAUGAAUGGGGCUGGCUAAUGGGAGAAAACAUGGUGGCCCCAUUGCAAGUACCACGAUGUAUAGAGCAACACUGGGGUAAGGUCACUGUGGGAUGGUUGCCUGCUGAGACCUGUGCAAACGUAACACAUGCCACCAUGCCAAGGAUGUGGUGGAACAAGCAGCCCUACCAAGGCUGGGCCCCCAUGGACUUUGUGCCUGCUGGGAGUUUAUAGGUCUGUGGGGACAUAGGAUGGCCAUAUCUGCCAGCCAACUAGACUGGACAUUGUACCUGGGAGUGGCCUUCUGUGCCUGCCACUGUGCUUCCCACAUUGCUUAGUCACACACAUAACUGGGAGGUGCUGUGUUCCCAGUUUUUGUGAGUGCAUUGAGCCCCUAGUGGUUCUACCCCUUAGCAAUAACUGUCCCUGGAACAGGUGUCAUCACUGUAGAAAUGCAGGUUACAGCCCUUGCAGAACACAGAGAUUGGGCCCAUGAAUUACACCUGAGCUGCCCUCCUUUUGUUAAUUGAUGAGUUUGAUCAGAUCAGGAAGGUGGUGAUGCAAAACCGGAUGGCCUUAGACAUAGUCACAGCUGCUCAAGGUGGCACCUGUGCCCUUGUAGGGACAGAGUGUUGUACAUUCAUCCCUGACAACCACCAGAACAUAGUGGCAGCUUUGCAGGGGGUGUCAUGUCAUAGGAGAUUAAGGCAAUUGAAUACCUUACUGAUGACCGCCUGCAGAGAUGGUGGGUGUCUCUGGGCUCUGGCCUACACUGGGCUCUUAUAAUCAUAGGUAGCAUAGCAGGAAUAUUAGUAGUAGGUUGUUGCUCUCUUUAUUGUUGCUGUGGCCUCUGGGUCCAGGGUGCUCCCCUAUGUGCACGAGUUCCCAUUAAGAGGACCCCCUUGGCCUAGGGGGCGGAGUGUAAGGAACAUGGCUGUGUUGCUGCCAGGCAGGCAUAGGCCGAGGUAAAAAUCCUGCAUGACACAGUGGGAUUAGAGCACACGCGCGCAAUCCUGUGCCUGAUAUAAUCACAGCUAGGUAGACAUAACACAGAGAAGCUCAUCAUUUGGCUCUCAGCCACUAUCAUUUGUGAGGUGUACAAAUGUAACACUGACACUGUGAAAGAGCUGCUGAAUAAAGCCAUGUCUCAUCUACCUGCUCUCUCUCGAGUGUUCUUCCAGCUCCCUGCCCCCCGCCCCAUCUACCCACACCCCUCUGACCUCAGCUGGGGCUUGAAACUGACAUUUGCUUUAUUGUACUUUGCAGAUACUUAAAAAAAAAACCAAAUUAAAGUUUUGUGGCAACCCUGUGUUGAGCAAGC